rnacentral:lncRNA from 1 species
AAUGUCCGAAGACUUAUAUGUAUACAUCCGUCAGUAAACUCCGCAGUUAUAGAACUUGUAUACUUUUAAGUUGUGUAUUAUUGUAGAUGGAAUAAUUCUGUGAGCCUGUAUUAUAACUAUAGUGUAUUGUAAGCAGGGAAAUUUGUAUGUUUAAAAUUUUAUUGAGAUAGCAAAUUUGUAGUGUUCAGGCUUACUACGGGCCUCGGGGGCCUUAAGCUUACCUGGGCCCUAGUGCCGGUCCGGCCCAUGGAAAUGGGUCGUGACAAUUAAAUAGUUGAAAAAUGUAAAAAUUAUUAUUUUAAAAGUUAUAUUAACCACAUUUUAAAUCGAUAUUUGCCAUCUCAAAAAUAAAAAUCUUAAAAAUUAUUGUUGAUGUCGGGAAAACAUGUAUA